AGAGUUUGAUCCUGGCUCAGGACGAACGCUGACGGUGUGCUUUAGGCAUGCAAGUCGAACGAGAAAGCCCUUCGGGGUGAGUAAAGUGGCGAACGGGUGAGUAACACGUGGGCAACCUGCCCCUCGCAGGGGGACAACCGGAGGAAACUCCGGCUAAUACCCCGUACGCUUGUUGGAUCGCAUGGUCCGGCAAGGAAAGGUAGCUUCGGCCAUCCGGCGAGGGAUGGGCCCGCGUUGCAUUAGCUAGUUGGUGGGGUAACGGCCUACCAAGGCGACGAUGCGUAGCUGGUCUGAGAGGAUGAUCAGCCACACUGGGACUGAGACACGGCCCAGACUCCUACGGGAGGCAGCAGCCAGGAAUCUUGGGCAAUGGGCGAAAGCCUGACCCAGCAACACCGUGUGGGUGACGAAGGCCUUAGGGUCGUAAAGCCCUGUUGAUAGGGACGAAGGGCGAAGGGUUAAUAGCCCCUAGCUUGACGGUACCUUUCGAGGAAGCCCCGGCUAACUACGUGCCAGCAGCCGCGGUAAUACGUAGGGGGCGAGCGUUGUCCGGAAUUAUUGGGCGUAAAGAGCGUGUAGGCGGUUCGGUAAGUCUGCUGUGAAAUCCUGGGGCUCAACCCUGGGCGUGCAGCGGAUACUGCCGGGCUAGAGGGUGGUAGAGGCGAGUGGAAUUCCGAGUGUAGCGGUGAAAUGCGCAGAUAUUCGGAGGAACACCAGUAGCGAAGGCGGCUCGCUGGGCCACACCUGACGCUGAGACGCGAAAGCGUGGGGAGCGAACAGGAUUAGAUACCCUAGUAGUCC
rnacentral:rRNA from 1 species